rnacentral:rRNA from 1 species
GAUGAACGCUAGCUACAGGCUUAACACAUGCAAGUCGAGGGGAAACGACAUCGAAAGCUUGCUUUUGAUGGGCGUCGACCGGCGCACGGGUGAGUAACGCGUAUCCAACCUGCCCAUCACUUGGGAAUAACCUUGCGAAAGUAAGACUAAUACCCAAUGACAUCCCACGAAGACAUCUGAAUGGGAUUAAAGAUUUAUCGGUGAUGGAUGGGGAUGCGUCUGAUUAGCUUGUUGGCGGGGUAACGGCCCACCAAGGCAACGAUCAGUAGGGGUUCUGAGAGGAAGGUCCCCACAUUGGAACUGAGACACGGUCCAAACUCCUACGGGAGGCAGCAGUGAGGAAUAUUGGUCAAUGGGCGAGAGCCUGAACCAGCCAAGUAGCGUGCAGGAUGACGGCCCUAUGGGUUGUAAACUGCUUUUAUAAGGGAAUAAAGUGGGUCUCGUGAGACUUUUUGCAUGUACCUUAUGAAUAAGGACCGGCUAAUUCCGUG